CUGGUCCGAGUGCAGUGGUGUUUACAACUAAUUGAUCAUAACCAGUUACAGAAUUCUCUGUACUUCUCUACUCCCACUGUUUCGCUUGACUAG
rnacentral:Y_RNA from 1 species